rnacentral:rRNA from 1 species
UACGUAGGCAGCGAGCGUUGUUCGGAGUUACUGGGCGUAAAGGGUGUGUAGGCGGUCUUCUAAGUUUGGUGUGAAAUCUCCCGGCUCAACUGGGAGGGUGCGCCGAAAACUGGGAGGCUAGAGUACUGGAUGGGAGAGUGGAAUUCCUGGUGUAGCGGUGAAAUGCGUAGAUAUCAGGAGGAACACCGGUGGUGUAGACGGCUCUCUGGACAGUAACUGACGCUGAGACACGAAAGCGUGGGUAGCAAACAGG